rnacentral:miRNA from 1 species
AAUGUCUUAUAUUUUGCUAUUAUC